AUUGAACGCUGGCGGCAGGCCUAACACAUGCGAGUCGAGCGGAUGAAGGGAGCUUGCUCCUGGAUUCAGCGGCGGACGGGUGAGUAAUGCCUAGGAAUCUGCCUGGUAGUGGGGGAUAACGUCCGGAAACGGGCGCUAAUACCGCAUACGUCCUGAGGGAGAAAGUGGGGGAUCUUCGGACCUCACGCUAUCAGAUGAGCCUAGGUCGGAUUAGCUAGUUGGUGGGGUAAAGGCCUACCAAGGCGACGAUCCGUAACUGGUCUGAGAGGAUGAUCAGUCACACUGGAACUGAGACACGGUCCAGACUCCUACGGGAGGCAGCAGUGGGGAAUAUUGGACAAUGGGCGAAAGCCUGAUCCAGCCAUGCCGCGUGUGCGAAGAAGGUCUUCGGAUUGUAAAGCACUUUAAGUUGGGAGGAAGGGCAGUAAGUUAAUACCUUGCUGUUUUGACGUUACCAACAGAAUAAGCACCGGCUAACUUCGUG
rnacentral:rRNA from 1 species